UCUUGACCUCAUGAUCCACCUGCCUCAGCCUUCCAAAGUGCUGGGAUUACAGACGUGAGCCACCACGCCUCACCAACAUUUUUAAAAGCUGGACAUUGUGGCCCAUGCCAGUAGUGCUAGCUAUUCCAUAGGCUGAGGUGGGAGGAUUGCUUGAGCCUAGGAAUUCAAGGCUGCGGUGAGCUAUGAUGGCACCACAGCACUCCAGUCUGAAUGACAGAGUGAAACUCUAUCUCAAACAAAGACAAUGCAGAUUUGCUCUAGUAAAUUGGGUGUCCCCCUAGUCAAGAUGGUGUUUGGUAGAUUCAUGGAAGCUUGCCAUUUAGGAGUAUCCCUUAACGUCAUACUCUUCACUUCCCUAGUUUGGAGGCACACUAACUGAAUCUACAUGUUACCUCAGUUUCAGAACUAGCGAGGCAAGAGGUAAGUGUGUAGAUAAGCACGAAUUUAUCUGAAACUUUAGCUGAAUUACUCCUUUUUUUUUAGGUUUUUUUUUUUUUCUGUGUUUUGUUUUGAAUGAGAGUGAAGUUCUGAAAAGAUCAGUAAAAAAUGGAAGAAAACGGAGCUAAUGGGGGGCCUGGGGCACAGUGAAGCGCUCUCGGGUCCACUGAGUCAAAGGUAUAAGAAUCAAAUUGGAGUGAGGAGCUCAUGCCAGAGAAAGCUUAAAUGAAAUAAGAAAAAAAAAAAAAAAGAAAGAAAGCUGAAGUGGUGGGUUUCCUUUCUUAGGCCAAUUAGGUUUUCCUUUGCUGGGAAGGAAAAGGAGCUUUUAAAUUUUUGAUCUAAAAUAGAGGUGAGUUUAGGGUGCCAUACGGCUGCAUUUUUCAGCCCUCAGAAUCCCUUCUGCUUGAAAAAGGCCGUAAUUAAGUCUAGUGGCCCCAACUCGACCUGCAUAGUCAGUGUUUCUUUUUUUAGAGAGUGAUCCUGCUGAAUUAAAAUUCAAUUAAUCCAACUUUAAGGGCAAGAAAAACUAUUUGUGAAAAAUCAUUAAACAGCACAUAAAACCCUUUGAGGAAGAGUGACUACUAGGAGAAGCACAGCCUGGCUUUUGUUAACGUACUUUGGGCCCAAUGAGUUAACUUUUUUAAGGAAUUUUAACAAGAUAGUGGUCAAAGUGGAAUUUGUUCGUGUAGUUUAUUUAAGGUUUUACAAGGCCCUGCAAAGAGUCCCUCCCCUAAGUCUGGAAGAGAAGAGUUUGGUAACAACGUGGUGAGAGGUAAAAUCUUAGGGGGUGCAUUUUUAGACCUGGGAGGAAACAAAAUGACUGGCCCAGCUGCUUCAAAAAUGUCAUGGUCCUGGCCGGGCGAG